rnacentral:rRNA from 1 species
UAAUACAGAGGGUGCAAGCGUUAAUCGGAAUUACUGGGCGUAAAGCGUGCGCAGGCGGUUCGUCAAGUCUGAUGUGAAAGCCCCGGGCUCAACCUGGGAACGGCAUUGGAAACUGGCGGGCUGGAGUGUGGCAGAGGGGGGUGGAAUUCCGCGUGUAGCAGUGAAAUGCGUAGAGAUGCGGAGGAACACCGAUGGCGAAGGCAGCCCCCUGGGCUGACACUGACGCUCAGGCACGAAAGCGUGGGGAGCAAACAGG